rnacentral:lncRNA from 1 species
GUAUGACACUAAUAUAUUCAAUUGUUGCUUGUUAAUUUUAUUUUUUUUAAGAAAACAUGAUAUUGAACAUUUUUUUUUUUUUUAAGGAAACAUGCUUAUAGCAUUUCAUUGAUAAUUAAGAAUUCAAUACAUUCGAGUAUAUCAUAAUAAAUAGUGGAACUAACUUAGAACAUGACUUCUCUUGCAAGUACAUGAGCAACCGCGUUGGCUUGUCGCCUAACAAACUCCACACUAAAGUUAGAAAAGAAAGAAGUAAAAAUAGUUAGAGAGAAAUUAUAAGUGUAAUAACUAAUAAGAUAUACUUUUUUACCUUAACUAGAGCGUGCAUUUACACCAACCAUUAACGCACUUAAAUGCAAUUUCACGAGGACAAGAAAAUAUUUUAUAACAGUCGUGGUCAUCGACACAUUGUCCUGUAGUGUAAAAUAAAAUAAAUACAUAUAAUUAAAAAUGGUAGAAUGAUUAUGUAUAAGAUAAACAAACGAAAAUAUGAGAAUGAGUUUACUAUGUCUAUUUUCUCCACCGAUCCUUUUUCCACUGUCGACUACAACAAGAAAAAGAGAAACAAAAAAGAUCACAACAUAAACAAACUUGUAAAUUUCAAUCAUU